GGCUUUGUACGGUACAGUAUUGUGGCCGAUGAGAUUUAUCUGAGGCACGAUUAUUGCUAAUUGAAAAUUUUUCUACACAAAAUAGUGAACUCAUACCCAGAUUUUUUGAAGAAUGUUAUAAAAU
ensembl:snRNA U4 U4 spliceosomal RNA